rnacentral:rRNA from 1 species
ACGGGUGAGUAACAUUUAGGAAUCUGCCUAGUAGUGGGGGAUAGCUCGGGGAAACUCGAAUUAAUACCGCAUACGACCUACGGGUGAAAGGGGGCGCAAGCUCUUGCUAUUAGAUGAGCCUAAAUCAGAUUAGCUAGUUGGUGGGGUAAAGGCCUACCAAGGCGACGAUCUGUAACUGGUCUGAGAGGAUGAUCAGUCACACCGGAACUGAGACACGGUCCGGACUCCUACGGGAGGCAGCAGUGGGGAAUAUUGGACAAUGGGGGCAACCCUGAUCCAGCCAUGCCGCGUGUGUGAAGAAGGCCUUUUGGUUGUAAAGCACUUUAAGCAGGGAGGAGAGGCUAAUGGUUAAUACCCAUUAGAUUAGACGUUACCUGCAGAAUAAGCACCGGCUAACUCUGUGCCAGCAGCCGCGGUAAUACAGAGGGUGCGAGCGUUAAUCGGAAUUACUGGGCGUAAAGCGAGUGUAGGUGGCUCAUUAAGUCACAUGUGAAAUCCCCGGGCUUAACCUGGGAACUGCAUGUGAUACUGGUGGUGCUAGAAUAUGUGAGAGGGAAGUAGAAUUCCAGGUGUAGCGGUG